rnacentral:rRNA from 1 species
AACGAACGCUGGCGGCAGGCCUAACACAUGCAAGUCGAGCGGCAGCGAGACUAGUAGCAAUACUAGUUGUCGGCGAGCGGCGGACGGGUGAGUAACACGUAGGAAUCUGCCCUUAAGCGGGGGAUAACCAAGGGAAACUUUGGCUAAUACCGCAUAAUCUCGAGAGAGCAAAGCUGCCCGCAAGGGUGGCACUUGAGGAGGAGCCUGCGUCCGAUUAGCUAGUUGGUGGGGUAAUGGCCUACCAAGGCGAUGAUCGGUAACUGGUCUGAGAGGACGACCAGUCACACUGGGACUGAGACACGGCCCAGACUCCUACGGGAGGCAGCAGUGGGGAAUAUUGGACAAUGGGGCAACCCUGAUCCAGCGAUGCCGCGUGAGUGAAGAAGGCCUUCGGGUCGUAAAGCUCUUUAGGUUGGGAGGAAGGGUAUUGGCUGAAUAAUCCAGUACUUUGACGGUACCGACAGAAUAAGCACCGGCAAACUCUGUGCCAGCAGCCGCAGUAACAC